AUAUUUAGGGACAAGAUAAACAUGAGUUGGAGAGCUUAGUAAGGUACCUGGCUUUCAAACUGAUGUGAUCGAUUAUCUGAAGCUUUUGCAAAAAACUGUUGUUUGUGCUGGAUAAGUCCUUUGAGUUCUAUGAUGCAAAUAUAAAAUUGUGAAAUCCGUCCUCAAGGCCUACAUCAGAGGAGAAACCAAGGUACUGGAGAAAUAUUGUUCCCCUGAAAUAAUUGAGAGAUGUAAAGCCGAAUAUCAAGUUUGUGAGAUGCAGGGCACUUUUUAUGACAACAAGAUAUUACAUAUAUCUGAAGUCGACAUAAGAGAGACCAAAAU